rnacentral:lncRNA from 1 species
CGCCGCCACCUCCUUCCCCGUCACCUCCUCCUCCUUACGUUUACAAGUCGCCGCCACCACCUUCACCGUCCCCUCCGCCACCUUACGNNNNNNNNNNNNNNNNNNNCCCCGCACCCUGAGUAUGACAACUCUCCUCCCCCCCCAUCCCCGUCACCUCCCCCACCUUACGAGUACAAGUCUCCUCCUCCUCCUUCACCGUCACCACCGCCACCUUACGAGUACAAGUCUCCCCCUCCUCCUUCACCGUCACCACCGCCACCAUACGAGUAUAAGUCUCCCCCUCCUCCUUCACCGUCACCUCCGCCACCUUACGAAUACAAAUCUCCACCACCUCCAUCGCCGUCACCACCGCCACCAUACUACUACAAGUCGCCGCCGCCGCCUUCACCCUCUCCUCCUCCACCAUACUACUACAAAUCUCCACCACCUCCGUCUCCAUCGCCACCACCACCAUACCACUACUCUUCUCCACCACCACCUAAAAAAUCACCUCCACCACCGUAUUAUUACAAAUCUCCACCACCACCUUCGCCAUCUCCACCGCCACCUUAUCACUACUCUUCUCCACCGCCACCAAAGAAAUCACCUCCUCCGCCAUACUACUACAAAUCUCCACCACCACCUUCACCAUCUCCUCCACCACCUUACCACUACUCCUCUCCACCACCACCUAAGAAAUCACCUCCACCACCAUACUACUACAAGUCUCCACCACCACCUUCACCCUCUCCUCCACCACCGUACUACUAUAAGUCUCCGCCGCCACCAUCACCCUCUCCUCCGCCACCAUACUACUAUAAAUCCCCGCCGCCACCAUCCCCAUCUCCUCCACCACCGUACUACUACAAGUCCCCACCACCACCUUCACCGUCUCCACCACCACCAUACUACUACAAAUCUCCACCGCCGCCAUCACCAUCACCUCCCCCACCAUACUACUACAAAUCCCCACCACCACCCGCAAAAUCUCCCCCACCACCACCGUACUACUACAAGUCUCCGCCACCACCCAAGGCUUACCCUCCUCCUUACCACUACACAUCACCGCCGCCGCCGGCAGUCUAUCCCCAUGAGCUGACUAUCAAGGUUGUCGGAAAAGUGUAUUGCUAUAGAUGUUAUGACUGGGCUUACCCAACGAAGUCACACGACAAGAAGCACCUUAAAGGUAUAAUAAUUAUUUAAUAACUUCCCAUUAGAUGAAAUAUAGUUAUUUGUAAUGCAUGAUAAAUUUAUCAUAUGUAUAUGGCGCUAUACAAAUGCUAAUUCCCACUGAGAAUCAACAUAAAAAUCCUCACCAGAUUUCUGCAUGUUUUUGGCAUAUAUGUUCUGGUGGACUUAGUAUUAUUUUGUAUAAUUAAAAACGAAUUAAAACAGCUCUUUGAUUGUCCCAUUUGCCAAAGUAUUAAAGCCCACCAAGUCAGAGUCAUAUUUGGCAAUUGGCAUCUCUGUUUUCCCCCUUUUUUUUACUUAUUUAAAAAUACUGAAAUACCUACUCAGUGGAAAAUAAUAUGGAAAUGAUUAUUUUAAGGUUGUCACGUAGUAACGUGCUUGACCACUGACAAAUAAGACUAAACAAAUAUAAUUAGUUGAGGAAAUUGUGAUGCUGACGUGUGAUGUUGAUUGUCUCUAACGACUUUUCUCUCCGACAGGAGCCGUGGUGGAAGUAACUUGCAAGGCAGGGGAAAAGGAAAUCAAGGCGUACGGGAAGACCAAAAUCAACGGCAAAUAUAGCAUCACCGUCGACGGAUUCGAGUACGGCAAAUAUGGAGCCAAGGCUUGCACAGCUAAGCUUCACGCUCCGCACAAGGGUUCCAAGUGUAGCAUCCCGACCAAGCUUCACGGCGGAAACAAGGGUGCCGAGCUGAAAGUGAAGUCCAAGGAUUACCACUUGAUUGUGUUGCAGGCUAAGUCCUUUGCUUAUGCUCCUAAGAAGCCUUACGCAGAGUGUGACAAGCCUAAGCCAAAACCCACACCUCCUCCUUACUAUUAUAAGUCUCCACCACCACCAUCACCUAAACCAUACUACUACAAAUCCCCGCCUCCUCCUCCUCCAACUUACGUGUACAAGUCCCCGCCACCACCGGCUUACGUGUACAAGUCACCACCACCACCGGCUUACAUAUACAAGUCGCCGCCACCUCCUUCACCUAAGCCAUACUACUACAAGUCACCACCUCCUCCGACUUACGUCUACAAGUCUCCACCACCACCUGCUUACGUGUACAAGUCGCCUCCACCACCGGCAUAUGUGUACAAGUCACCACCACCUCCUUCACCUAAGCCAUACUACUACAAGUCACCACCUCCUCCGACUUACGUCUACAAGUCUCCACCACCACCUGCUUACGUGUACAAGUCGCCUCCACCACCGGCAUAUGUGUACAAGUCACCACCACCUCCUUCACCUAAGCCAUACUACUACAAGUCACCACCUCCUCCGACUUACGUCUACAAGUCUCCACCACCACCUGCUUACGUGUACAAGUCAU